AAACAAAACACGUCGGGGAAACCAGACCGCCGCGGAGAGGGACAGCGCCCAGCAAAAGCGAGGCUGAUGGAGCGAAGCCAGGAAGAGGAUGCGGAGACGCGGGGGUCUGUCUGGCUAUGUCACCCAGGCUGGCCUCCAACUCCUGAGCUCAAGCCAUCCUCCUGCCUCAGCCUUCUGAGUAGCUGAGACUACAGUUGUUGUGGAAGAUAAAGCCCAGCCUGAUAUAUGCUCUUUCAAAGGAAGUUCUCAGGAAUAUCCUGUAUAUGGCACCAGACCUCAGACAAUUCAGGUAGACAAAAACCCUCAUGUGUAUCACAGCUACGUAAUGCUAGAACAAAAUAUUGAAUAUUCAAGCUCAGAGUAUUUUUUAGAGGGUUUCUGCUUUUCCCUUAUUUACAGGUUUGGCUUUUUCCUGAUGUUCUAUCAGUGACUGGAAAUUGUAUUAGUCCCUUCUCAUGCUGCAUAAGGACAUACCCGAGACUGGGUAAUUUAUAAAGGAAAGAGGCUUAAUUGACUCAUAGUUCUGCAUGGCUGCAGA
rnacentral:sRNA from 1 species